GAUGAACGCUAGCGACAGGCCUAACACAUGCAAGUCGAGGGGCAGCACAAGGUAGCAAUACUGAGGUGGCGACCGGCGCACGGGUGAGUAACGCGUAUGCAACCUGCCUGUAACAGGGGGAUAGCCUCUUGAAAGAGAGAUUAAUACCGCAUAAUACAGUUGGACGGCAUCGUUCAGCUUUUAAACAUUUAUGGGUUACAGAUGGGCAUGCGUUUCAUUAGGUAGUUGGUGAGGUAACGGCUCACCAAGCCGACGAUGAAUAGGGGUUCUGAGAGGAAGGUCCCCCACACUGGUACUGAGACACGGACC
rnacentral:rRNA from 1 species